rnacentral:rRNA from 1 species
UCCUACGGGAGGCAGCAGUGAGGAAUAUUGGUCAAUGGUCGGGAGACUGAACCAGCCAAGCCGCGUGAGGGAUGAAGGUACAGAGUAUCGUAAACCUCUUUUGUCAGGGAACAAGGGCGGGGACGUGUCCCCGGAUGAGUGUACCUGAAGAAAAAGCAUCGGCUAACUCCGUGCCAGCAGCCGCGGUAAUACGGAGGAUGCGAGCGUUAUCCGGAUUUAUUGGGUUUAAAGGGUGCGCAGGCGGUCUGUUAAGUCAGCGGUCAAAGCCCGGGGCUCAACCCCGGCCCGCCGUUGAAACUGGCAGU